GGGAUGGGCUGGGGGCUGCAGUGGGGCUGGGGAUGGGGAGCCUGAGAGCAGACAGAGCCCUGCCCUGCAUGCUGAGAGUGCCAUGGGACACCCAGAGCUGUGCCACACUCAGUGCCAUGGGACAGAGCCCUGCCCUGCAUGCUGAGAGUGCCACGGGACACCCAGUGCUGUGCCACACUCAGUGCUGUCACACUCAGUGCUGUGCUACACUCAGUGCUGACACACUCAGUAUUGUGUCACACUCAGUGCUGUGCCACACUCAGUACUGACACACUCAGUACAAUGUCACACUAAGUGCUGUGCCACACUCAGUGCUGUGUCACACUCAGAGCUGUGUCACACUCAUAUACAUGUCACACUCAUUUCCAUGUCACACUCAGUACAAUGUCACACUCAGUGCUGUGUCACACCCAGUGCUGUGUCACAUUCAGUGCCGUGUCACACUCAGCACUGUCACACUCAGCACUGUCACACUCAUUCCAUGUCACACUCAGUGCUGUGUCACAUUCAGUGCCAUGUCACACUCAGCACUGUGUCACACUCCUUUCCAUGUCACACUCAUUUCCCUGUCACACUCAGCACUGUGUCACACUCAUUUCCAUGUCACACCCAGUGCCAUAUCGUGCUCCUAUGCUGCCUGGACACCACGGUGCUCCAGGACAGGAGCAGCUCUGCAUGUCCUGCUGUGUACCUGUGUAUUUCCUGACCCCAGCCUUCCUCGGGGAUGUUCCUGGCUGCAGCCAGGGAGGGAGGGCAGCAGCACGUGGGAAAUGCAGUGGCACAGACCCUGACAGAUGUCAUGGUGAGCUAUUUUAAGAUUUUAUCUCGCUAGCCUCUGACAAAAAUGUGCUGUGGAGCAGAGCUUACCCUGUGCAGCUUGGCACACAGGGCCAGUGAGGGGACAGUGCAGCUGGUCCCUGGGGUGGGGGCAGGUGACACGGGGCCACUGGAGCAGCAGUGGCUGCUGCUGGUGCAGACAUGAGUGUGUGCCACAGGAGAUGGGCAUGGGCAGGGUGCACCCAGCAAAAACCUGAGCCAAAAUCCCAGCCCAGGUCUGAACCAGGGAAGUGCCAGCCUUGCAGGGCUCCUGCCUUCCUGGUGUUACCCAGAGCAGGAGGAUGGGCUUCAGCUGGAACCUUCCCUACCUCCAGUUUCUAAACUUGGGAUCUUCCUAAGCAAGGUUGAUGGGAGAGAUGAAUGAUGCUGCCUCCUGCAGUCUCCUUUCCCCAUGGCUGUGCCCCAGGAGCUCAAGGCAGUGAGAGCACAGGAGGGAAUCUCUACGCUGGCAGGAUUCAGAGAGGCACAAAGGAGGGAAAAACGAGUUUCAGCCAGAAGAGAGAGGAAAAAAAAAAAAAGGAUGCUGUUAGCAUUCCCUGUAUUAGAGGGGGUAAAAACAUUUUGCUGUCAACUCUGUUUUAAAGGGUAAGUGCCAACAGCAGCCCAGUUACUAUGCAAAUAAAUCCUGUGCUCAGCCUUUCCCUCUCAGUGCAAAGUUUGGGGCUGUCAGCCAGGGGAGUUGGGCUGUAGGGGCUGGAAGUCCCCUCAUGUCCCCAGGGCUCCCAUCCCCAUCCUGGGGCUGCCACUGCAGAGCUCUGGACCUUGGGAUCAGUGGGGGUGCCCAAGUGUCCCCCAGAAAAGGUGGGACAGUGAGGGGAGCACUGCAAGGUGUGGGCUGGGUACCCCUGCUCCUUAUCAAAGGCAGAUUCAGGCAGCUGCUGGCAGCAGAGCCCUUGGCUGAGCCUGUGACAGGGGACACCCCAGGGAGUGCCUGGAAGGGCAGAAAUCUCACCAAGACAUUCCCUUUCAUGCUGGCAAGUGGGGAGGGUCUGGCAGCACCCCUGGGGCACAGGGCUGUCUCUCACUCUCUGCUGCCAGGUGCAAAGGGAGGUGAGGCCAGCCCAUGGUGCCAGGCUGUGGCUGGGCUCCUGCAGAUGAUGACCAGCACCCAGCACUGCUAUUUGUGCUGACACUUCCCCACCACAGCAGAGGGGCUGCACAUGCCCCAGUGUGAUGGUUUCCUGUAAAAAAGAUUUGAAUUUGUCAUGCAAAUGACUGGGCAUGUGGGCACAGCUGCUGAGAGGUGGUCUGGCUGGGUCAGCUGCCAGCAUGGCCACAGGGAUGUGCCCAGGACAAGGUCUGGUCCCAGCCUGGAAUGUGCCAAGCAGAUGGUGCUGCCAGGGCUGUGCUGCCAAAACCACCCAGCCCUUGCCACUCCUCCUGGUGCCUGUGGCUCACUGAAGUUUUUAAAACAAGCACUGUGACCCCCCUGCUCGUCCCUCCCCUGGCUUCUCUCUGGCUGCAGCAGAGCUGAGCUGCCCAGGAUGAGCUUGCUUUGUGCUGGGACAACGUAAGGAGGUGGAAGAGGCUGCUCCAUCAAGCAAUGCACUAAUAAAAAUUAAAAUUACACUUUUAAGCAAUUUCAAUUAUUUGAGUGCUUAUCCUGUGCCACCCUGGGAGCCACUGCCACUCCCCCACACCCCACUCUGCUCACACUCUGCACUUUAUCUCUUGUCCUUCUAACACAGCCACCCUUUGAGCUCUCCCCACUUUCCCAGGCUAGCACAGGUCAGGGAAGUGCUUGGCUUCUUCCUGAGGCUCCCAGCUCCACCUGGCAGCACAGCCCUGCUCCCAGGGGAAGGAGCAUGGCAGAGCCCAUCCUUCUGCCUGCCUGCAAUUGCACAGCCAGGUUUCUGCACCAGGAAGGAGGCAGGUCAGGCUGUUGUUUCCCUGUGGCUGUUUCUCGAAAUGAGCCCAGAGCAAAACUGAGCAGGAUCCAGGGAUGGAACUGGGCAGUGCUGGGUGCUGGGAGCACUGCCUGCACCCUCACUGCCUGGCAGAUCAGGAAAUCAGACAGCUAAAUGGAAAAUCAUCACUCUUUUCACUUCAGAGCAUGCUGCACAUGUUUUUUUCAGCAACAAAUCGAUUUUCAGCACUGUGUUGUCCCCAUCAAGCAGGGAUGUGCAUCCCCAGCGAAGCCAAAUCCCAGCUCAGCAGUGCCAGGCACCUCAGUGCUGCUGGGAUGGGGUUCCCACCCAAAAAUCCCCCCCUCCCUUCUCCUCAGAACAACUGACAGGGAGAAAGAGGAAUUGCUGAAUAAUCUCCAGCCCUGAUAGCACUUCAAAGGCAGGGCCCAGGCCAGGCUGUGCUCCCGCCAGGGCUGGAUGCUGCACUCAGCUCUCACUCUCUGGCAGCCCCACAGUGCAUCCAGAAAGUAAUUACUUAAAAAGGAAAUAAAUGUCACCCACAUGGUUGUAAGCAAAAACCCGGGCAGGGUGAACAGAGCCCCACCAGGAUCUGCAUUCUCACGCACCACAAGCAAGGCAGGAGCAUUGUUUCCCUUCACUGAGAUGGGCUGUUUGCUCUGGGGGCUGCUGAUGACAUUAGAGAUGCCCACUGUGGGCAUUUGAGCUCCCCAGGGCAGCCACAGUGCUGAACUGCCCCUGCUUUGGCAUCCUCUUCCCCCAGGAUGGCUUUAGGCAUCACCACCUGAACCAGCAGCAGCCCUGCCUGGCACCAGGCCUGCUGUGACCUUUAGGGACAUGAACCAGAUAACUGGCAUGAUCAAACAGAGUAAUUUUAUUUACUUUUACAGAUUGAUUCCUGAAGUUUCUAAUUGCCAAAAGCAAAACACAAAACCUCUAAAGUUGGUCAGGGGAAGUCAAACGCAGCACCAGAGCAGCAAAUGAGGCUCAAGGGUGAGAUUUCCCUGCUGCUGGCACCUGCCUGGUUCUGCUGGACCUGAGACACCCUCAGCAAAUCCCCCUAACCAGGACAGGGCUCUGGCAGACCACUCUCUUUCAGAGAAAUUCAAUUUUAGAAAAAUAACCCCCAACUUAUUUUAAGCAAAUACCAGAAGGAAAGCGACGGCCUGAAAACUCUGGGAUGAGUUUUCCAGUCUGCCCCACUGGAGCUGCACCAGGAUGGCAGCACCUCCACCCUCUGCUCCACACGCUGUGAGCAAGCACCUGGGACCAGCCCACAGGGUUCUGUGAGCCCAGAGGUGCCUCAGACAUGCAGAGCAAGGGCAGCACGUGGGAUGCUGCAGGAUGGGGACAUCAGACAUCACCUGGUGCCAGCCUGGGCUCUUCCCACAGGACACGCUGCCAGCCCACCCUGGUGGGCUGGGAAAUACUCCCUAAGGCACUGCAGCCAAGCAAACAUGGUACCAUACAGCACUGAAUCAUUUUAAAAGUUAAAAUAGUUUAUUGCUGUCUUUGUAGAAAUGCACUUACAUGGCCUGUUCUCUUCCUUUAUUUGGCUGUUGGAUUACAGGCAUAAAAAGGUUACAUUUACCUAUUUGUUCAGUGACAUAACACCUUCCUCUCUGUUGCUCCACUCAUGAUAUUCUCCUAAACCUUGCUGGCCAACAGCCCCAAAUCUCUUUUACAUAAAUACUGUAAAUGUCUCCAUAGGUUGCAGCAUUGUAACAAAAGAUCUACCAAAGUAGACAAAAUGUUCAGUAUUCUUGGUUGGUUUUUUGCAUUUAAAAAUAUACCUAAAUUUGAGAUAAUCUUAACAGAGUAACAAUUACAAUAAGAAAAUAGUACAGUGCGUUGACUAAAGGAAUAUUCUGCUCUCCUUCAAGCCAAUAUUCCCUUUUGCAUGUUGAAGUGAUUCAGCAAUUACUUAAGAACUUUUACCUACAUACAAUAAUUUAGUAAAAUGAGAAUUAAACAAGGCAGAUACUUACUACUAUUCUUCUGUCUGCAAUUCACAGCUCAUGCGAAUAAAAUCGCAAUAAAUAUUAAAAAAUA